CUAACAUGAUGAUUACUAUAAGGUUUCGCAAUUGUCUGAAUAUAAUUUCAGUGCUGAAUACUCUUGGCUGUCUGAUAUUAG